rnacentral:rRNA from 1 species
UACGAAGGGGGCUAGCGUUGCUCGGAAUCACUGGGCGUAAAGGGUGCGUAGGCGGGUUUUUAAGUCAGAGGUGAAAUCCUGGAGCUCAACUCCAGAACUGCCUUUGAUACUGAAAGUCUUGAGUAUGGGAGAGGUGAGUGGAACUGCGAGUGUAGAGGUGAAAUUCGUAGAUAUUCGCAAGAACACCAGUGGCGAAGGCGGCUCACUGGCCCAUUAUGACG